rnacentral:rRNA from 1 species
UACGUAGGUGACCAGCGUUGUCCGGAUUUACUGGGCGUAAAGAGCGCGCAGGCGGUCGUUCAAGUCGAGUGUGAAAGCCCCCGGCUUAACUGGGGAGGGUCACUCGAUACUGAUCGACUGGAAGGCAGGAGAGGGAAGCGGAAUUCCCGGUGUAGUGGUGAAAUGCGUAGAUAUCGGGAGGAACACCAGUGGCGAAGGCGGCUUCCUGGCCUGUUCUUGACGCUGAGGCGCGAAAGCUAGGGGAGCAAACGGGG